GAUGAACGCUGGCGGCGUGCCUAAUACAUGCAAGUCGAGCGAACGGACGAGAAGCUUGCUUUUCUGAUGUUAGCGGCGGACGGGUGAGUAACACGUGGAUAACCUACCUAUAAGACUGGGAUAACUUCGGGAAACCGGAGCUAAUACCGGAUAAUAUUUUGAACCGCAUGGUUCAAAAGUGAAAGUCGGUCUUGCUGUCACUUAUAGAUGGAUCCGCGCUGCAUUAGCUUGUUGGUAAGGUAACGGCUUACCAAGGCAACGAUGCAUAGCCGACCUGAGAGGGUGAUCGGCCACACUGGAACUGAGACACGGUCCAGACUCCUACGGGAGGCAGCAGUAGGGAAUCUUCCGCAAUGGGCGAAAGCCUGACGGAGCCACGCCGCGUGAGUGAUGAAGGUCUUCGGAUCGUAAAACUCUGUUAUUAGGGAAGAACAUAUGUGUAAGUAACUGUGCACAUCUUGACGGUACCUAAUCAGAAAGCAACGGCUAACUACGUG
rnacentral:rRNA from 1 species